AUUGAACGCUGGCGGCAUGCUUUACACAUGCAAGUCGAACGGUAACAGGUUAAGCUGACGAGUGGCGAACGGGUGAGUAAUGCAUCGGAACGUGCCCGAUCGUGGGGGAUAACGCAGCGAAAGCUGCGCUAAUACCGCAUACGAUCUGAGGAUGAAAGCGGGGGACCGUAAGGCCUCGCGCGAUCGGAGCGGCCGAUGUCAGAUUAGGUAGUUGGUGGGGUAAAGGCUCACCAAGCCAACGAUCUGUAGCUGGUCUGAGAGGACGACCAGCCAAACUGGGAAUGAGACACGGCCCAGACUCCUACGGGAGGCAGCAGUGGGGAAUUUUGGACAAUGGGCGAAAGCCUGAUCCAGCAAUGCCGCGUGCAGGAAGAAGGCCUUCGGGUUGUAAACUGCUUUUGUACGGAGCGAAAAAGCUCUCUCUAAUACAGGGGGCUCAUGACAGUACCGUAAGAAUAAGCACCGGCUAACUACGUGCCAGCCGCCGCCGUAA
rnacentral:rRNA from 1 species